rnacentral:rRNA from 1 species
ACUGCUCAGUAACACGUGGACAACCUACCCUUGAGACGGGGAUAAACCCGGGAAACUGGGUAUAAUACCCGAUAGAUCUCGAAUGCUGGAAUGCAUCGAGUUCGAAAGCUCCGGCGCCUAAGGAUGGGUCUGCGGCCUAUCAGGUAGUAGUGGGUGUAGCGUACCUACUAGCCUACGACGGGUACGGGUUGUGAGAGCAAGAGCCCGGAGAUGGAUUCUGAGACACGAAUCCAGGCCCUACGGGGUGCAGCAGGCGCGAAAACUUUACAAUGCUGGAAACAGCGAUAAGGGGACCUCGAGUGCCAGGUUACAAAUCUGGCUGUCGUGAUGCCUAAAAAGCAUUGCAUAGCAAGGGCCGGGCAAGACCGGUGCCAGCCGCCGCGGUAACACCGGCGGCUCGAGUGGUAACCGUUAUUAUUGGGUCUAAAGGGUCUGUAGCCGGCCGGAUAAGUCUCUUGGGAAAUCUGGCAGCUUAACUGUCAGGCUUUCAGGGGAUACUGUCUGGCUCGAGGCCGGGAGAGGUGAGAGGUACUUCAGGGGUAGGGGUGAAAUCUUGUAAUCCUUGAAGGACCACCAGUGGCGAA